rnacentral:rRNA from 1 species
UACAGAGGGGCGAGCGUUGUUCGGAAUUACUGGGCGUAAAGGGCGCGUAGGCGGCCUGCUAAGUCAUACGUGAAAUCCCUCGGCUCAACCGGGGAACUGCGUGUGAUACUGGCGGGCUUGAAUUCGGGAGAGGGAUGCGGAAUUCCAGGUGUAGCGGUGAAAUGCGUAGAUAUCUGGAGGAACACCGGUGGCGAAGGCGGCAUCCUGGACCGAUAUUGACGCUGAUGCGCGAAAGC